rnacentral:tRNA from 1 species
UGAGCUAUGGUGUAAUUGGCAGCACGAGAGUUUCUGGUACUUUUAGUCUAGGUUCGAAUCCUGGUAGCUCAG